rnacentral:rRNA from 1 species
GCAUGGUUGUCGUCAGCUCGUGCCGUGAGGUGUCGGGUUAAGUCCCAUAACGAGCGCAACCCUUAUCCCUAGUUGCCAUCAGGUAAAGCUGGGAACUCUGGGGAGACUGCCGGUGAUAAACCGGAGGAAGGCGGGGAUGACGUCAAGUCCUCAUGGCCCUUACAUCCCGGGCUACACACGUGCUACAAUGGCAGGUACAGAGGGCUGCGAAGCCGCGAGGUGGAGCGAAUCCCAGAAAACCUGUCUCAGUCCGGAUUGAAGUCUGCAACUCGACUUCAUGAAGGCGGAAUCGCUAGUAACCGCGAAUCAGCAGGUCCGCGGUCCGAAUACGUUCCGGCCUU